rnacentral:rRNA from 1 species
GUAAGGAAUAUUGGGCAAUGGAGGCAACUCUGACCCAGCCAUGCCGCGUGAAGGAUUGACGGCCCUCUGGGUUGUAAACUUCUUUUGUACGGGAAUAACCCUCCGGACGUGUCCGGAGCUGAAGGUACCGUAAGAAUAAGGAUCGGCUAACUCCGUGCCAGCAGCCGCGGUAAUACGGAGGAUCCAAGCGUUAUCCGGCUUUACUGGGUUUAAAGGGUGCGUAGGCGGAUUAAUAAGUCAGUGGUGAAAGCCGGCAGCUUAACUGCAGAACUGCCAUUGAUACUGUUAGUAUGGAGUAUGGUUGAGGUAGCUGGAAUGUGUCAUGUAGCGGUGAAAUGCUUAGAGAUGACACAGAACACCGACGGCGAAGGCAGGUUACCAACCCAUUACUGACGCUGAGGCACGAAAGCGUGGGGAUCAAACAGGAUUAGAAACCCCGGUAGUCC